AAAAGGUUCCAUGUUUUUUUUUAAAAUUCAGGAAAGGUGGUGUUUGGGUGGGCCAUCUGCUUUCUGGGUAUUCAUUGCCAAUGGAAGAUCUGGGUCAAUCUAAACAGACAAAUGUGGAGGGUGUUGGUGGAACUUGGAGAGAAGCAAUCAAACUUGCCUGUGAGACUACGAAUGCAGCUUUUCCAGGGGUUGAAGUUAUGGCACAUCUUGAUCACAAGAGCUUCAAAAGUUGGCAAAGAAAUGCCAUUACAGGCUUUUUAGCGAAGCAGGACAUUAAAAUUGGCAAACAGAGCGACUUCUGCUGAAUUUCCCGGGUGAUGAUAGAUUAAUUGGUUUAUUUUUAUUUGUUAUCAUAGUUUUCUUUUACUUCCAAUCCCAUACCAUGUUCUUAAAACUACUAUUCUUUGAAUUUAUGAUCAUUUCCAUUCUAAAAUUGUAAAUAGUAAUUGUCUAAUCCUAUAAAAAAGUCGGUGGCUGCACAUUUUUGACAUAUUUUCUUCUUCACAUAUGAAAGUUCCGCAUGUAGUUUGCUGAUGUAUUUUAUCACAUUUUUGAGAUUUGAGUUGGUGAACUAAUUCCCAACUGAUUGAGAAAGAUGAUUGCUGUUUGGCAAAAUGCGAUUUAUUUAAUAACAAAAGUUCAUGAAAUUUAUUAGUUUUUAUAACAUUGAUUUUUUAGGGUAAAUUACACUUUGAGAUUUGGAAAAAAUACAAGCCUCAUAAUGAGUUUGGCAUAAUUAUGUGGAUUUCCUUUUUAGUAAAGGUAAAGCAAACUAGAUUAAUGCAUGUGGUGUGGACACAUGGAAGAUAAUUUAAAUAAAAUAAAUAUUUCAGUAUAAAUUGGACAAUAUUAUUUUCAUUCAUAUGAUUAACAGAUAGUUGAUGGUAAGGAAACAAAGUGAUAUGUCAAUUUAAAUCUCAAGGGAGUACAAUGUAAUUAAGCUAAAUUUGUAGAAUUUGUUGUCUUUUUUUUCAAAAGCAUGAGGGAAGUUAGUGUAAUUUAUCUUACUUUUUAUUUAUUUAUUUUUUAUUUUUUAAAUAUAGGGUUGUGCUAACAAUAUCACAGGGUGGAGGAAAUGCUAAAAUAUAUACAAUUUUAUUGCAUUUUUAACAUGUUUUUAAAUAUUUCUAUGAACUAUUUAUAUAUUCUUAUAUAAUUUUUAUAGGGUUGUCAUUAACAUUUUUCUUAUAUUAUUUUUUAUUUCAAUAAAUUACACUACUAUUUCUCGAGGUUUGAAAAAAUUAUAUUGAGCAUUACAAGUUUGAUAAUAGUUUGCCAACCACAUAUCCAACUUCCAAAUAUCUAGAAAUAAAAAUGGCGAAUUACACAUACCACCUCUGAUGUGUAAACCAUAUAUAUAAUAAACUUUGUACAUAAUUAUACGGACCUUUCUUAGUAAGGCUAAAGCAAAUAGAAAGAUCUUUCUCUCAAGCAUUUGUGGUAGAAAUAUAGAAGAUUUUCACAUAUUAGAAUACACAAAAAUGAUACAUUCCUUUAAUUUGGGGGCUCUAAAAGAGCAUUAAUGAUAUGAAAAUCAAAAAAAAAAAAAAAAAACAAACAAAAGAAGAAAAAAAAUAAGGCCAAAAUAU